rnacentral:rRNA from 1 species
CAAGUCGAACGCGAAAGUGGAGCAAUCCAUGAGUAGAGUGGCGAACGGGUGAGUAACGCGUGGGUGACCUACCUUCGAGUGGGGGAUAACGUCCCGAAAGGGACGCUAAUACCGCAUGACAUCCUGUCCUUGAACGGACGGAGAUCAAAGCCGGGGAUCGCAAGACCUGGCGCUUGUUGAGGGGCCCGCGUCUGAUUAGCUAGUUGGUGAGGUAACGGCCCACCAAGGCGACGAUCAGUAUCCGGCCUGAGAGGGCGGACGGACACACUGGGACUGAGACACGGCCCAGACUCCUACGGGAGGCAGCAGUGGGGAAUUGUUCGCAAUGGGCGCAAGCCUGACGACGCAACGCCGCGUGGAGGAUGAAGGUCUUCGGAUUGUAGACUCCUGUUGCCAGGGACGAAAAGCUCCGACCUAACACGUCGGAGUCUGACGGUACCUGGUGAGGAAGCCCCGGCUAACUCUGUGCCAGCAGCCGCGGUAAUACAGAGGGGGCUAGCGUUGUUCGGAAUUACUGGGCGUAAAGGGCGCGUAGGCGGCCCGCUAAGUCGAACGUGAAAUCCCCGGGCUCAACCCGGGAACUGCGUCCGAUACUGGCAGGCUUGAAUCCGGGAGAGGGAUGUGGAAUUCCAGGUGUAGCGGUGAAAUGCGUANAUAUCUGGAGGAACACCGGUGGCGAAGGCGGCAUCCUGGACCGGUAUUGACGCUGAGGCGCGAAAGCCAGGGGAGCAAACGGGAUUAGAUACCCCGGUAGUCCUGGCCCUAAACGAUGAAUGCUUGGUGUGGCGGGUAUCGAUCCCUGCC